CUCUCUCCUCUGACAGUGCCCAGGCCCUUGAGCCUCCUCCGAUGCCCAGUGGCUCUGCCCCAGGAGGGCCAGCGUCCCCGGGCUCCCAGUGAAGUAGCUGCGGGUCAUGGUGGCGGUGGUGGCCAGCUCCUCCGUCCUCCCUCGGACCCGCUGGGUGGGGCAGGGCAGGCCCAGUGGCCCUAAUCCCCCAUCGCCCUAUUCCUCAGUCUUUCCCUGGAC